CUCCAGUAGUUACCAGUGUAGUGGUGUUCUGUCUCCAGUAGUUACCAGUGUAGUGGUGUUCUGUCUCCAGUAGUUACCAGUGUCGUAGUAUUGGUGUUCUGUCUCCAGUAGUUACCAGUGUAGUGGUGUUCUGUCUCCAGUAGUUACCAGUGUCGUAGUAUUGGUGUUCUGUCUCCAGUAGUUACCAGUGUCGUAGUGUUCUGUCUCCAAUAGUUACCAGUGUAGUAGUAGUGGUGUUCUGUCUCCAGUAGUUACCAGUGUAGUAAUAGUGGUGUUCUGUCUCCAGUAGUUACCAGUGUAGUAGUGUUCUGUCUCCAGUAGUUACCAGUGUAGUGGUGUUCUUGUUCUGUCUCCAGUAGUUACCAGUGUAGUAGUAUUGGUGUUCUGUCUCCAGUAGUUACCAGUGUAGUAAUAGUGGUGUUCUGUCUCCAGUAGUUACCAGUGUAGUAGUGUUCUGUCUCCAGUAGUUACCAGUGUAGUGGUGUUCUGUCUCCAGUAGUUACCAGUGUAGUGGUGUUCUGUCUCCAGUAGAUACCAGUGUCGUAGUAUUGGUGUUCUGUCUCCAGUAGUUACCAGUGUAGUAGUAGUGCUGUUCUGUCUCCAGUAGUUACCAGUGUAGUGGUAUUGGUGUUCU
ensembl:lncRNA